CAAUUCCAAAACAUCCACACUUGACAAUUAUAAUACAAUCACCACGACAACAUAAGUUUCGAAAUGGUUUUGCAAUCAAUCACACUUACACACAAUUCCAAAACAUCCACACUUGGCAAUUAUAACACAAUCACCAUGACAACUUGAGUUCAAACACUCAAUCAUAAUCUUAAAUCAAACACGACUCGCGUGCCAAACACCCUAAUGCAAUGCGUAUAUGCCAAAAUGCAUGGACUCGGAAUUCCAAACCAAAACCCUCCUCGAAGGGCCGUAAAUCAUAAUUGUACCGCAUAUCACAGGCCAAAGUACU
rnacentral:lncRNA from 1 species